rnacentral:lncRNA from 1 species
GACUCUAAUGUGACAAGGUCACACUUAAACGUGAAUCAAAAGAUCAAAUCAACAUUAAAGUCUACUCCUAUGUCUAGCUAUGCUAAAAUUAAAGCAAUUAAAAUUGCCAAGAGUUUGGAAAGAGCACCAUGGACUCUUCNAAUCUACUUGGACUUUAUAAGAGGCCUUUUACAAACACAAACUAAAACUGCUAACAGUGGGCUAACACAAGCCCAUUACAAAUACAAAUAAAACAAAGUAAAGCCCAAAAAUUGAAAUCCUAUGCUACGGUCUUGUAGACAAUCACGUGCCCAGAUCUUGCUUUAAUUUGUUGCUGCUGAAAUCACUGCUUUUGAAUCUCCUAACCUGGCCCAAUCCUACAAACAAACAUGCACAACAUGGGUGAUUAUUCCCUCCAACAGAUCGCACAAACUGAUUGUAUAGCAAUGGUAGUGACUACUUCCCUUUUCUCCCGGUGCAGGUGAUGCAUCUAAGAGAUUCCUUUUGCUCUCAACUCACAAUCUGCUGCACGAAGGAUUCACACAAAAUCAGUAACCACACCAAUGCUUAACAAUUAUAAGACACACAGACAGUUUGAAACAAAUCUACAAUUAAUCUAAAACUCCCUUUAGUUCAGAGGACUGCUCCUAGCCUGCUCCAACUAAUCAGCAGAUCCACUUUUCACUUGUAACAUCCUACACUACAUUCUUGUAAAUUGAUGCACUAGCUAUAUGAUAUCAAUUAAAUCAGACCUGCACAACUACACCAAAAACAGCAGAUACUUCAAAUGAAUCAGUUCACGCAUAGCUAGCUAAGUGGCAUGCAAAGGUAUGUAGUCAAUCACUCUGGAUAAAACUGAAAUCGGAAACUGCUUUCCCAAUAAAAUUGAAAUGAUAUUUUUAACCAGGGAAGAAAAUGUUUCAAUUCAAGGCCUUAGUACAAAACAAUUCCAAUUCAGAAUCAUCAUUUGCAAGUGAAAAAGAAAGGAAAUUCACAAUCAGAAUUAUGCAGCAGUUUAAAAGAACAGAAGGCAGUAAUCAGAGAAUUGUGAUCCCAGCUUAAGCAAACCCAUUCAGAAAUCAGAGUGGUUAAUUCUAGUUUACAUAAACUGCCAUAUCAGAAUCAACACUUCAAAUAAUGCUAAGCAAGGACAUGCUAUAUACAGAAAUAGUUUGGACAAAACAGAGGCAAUUUAAGAUGAAAUACUCUCUUUUUGUUCAACACUCCCAAAGUCUAUUCUCAUGAGAUCCCUUGCUCAACUUCUACACUNCUGCAGCUAGUUGUAACUCACUUUCUACUAAGCACCACCUGUGAAUGACAAUCA